AGAGAGAGACAGAACAUGUACUUUAUAAGGAGCCAGACAGAGACAACAGUCAUCAGCUCGUCGCAGUGCAACUACCAGCGCGCGGUCGGAGAGUUCUUCAGCGGCGCGUGCGCACCGGGCGCGCUGCACCACUCGCACACCAUCUCCGACGCUUCGGACCAAUUCGACGCCACGACCCUGUGUACGGCUUGCAGACCCAACCUCAGCGUACUCAACGGAACUGACGUUUCAAACUUCACCUGUGCCUUCAACUCCUCCAACCUGUUCUUCGGGAACCAAGGAUCCGUCAGCUGCCUCGCCAGCGAGCACACAGAUGUCGCUGUCGUCGAGUUGCAAAACAUUGACGCACAACUGCGAGCUCUGAACAUUGACGGCACGCGAUUCCGCGCGUUGUGCUCCAACAACACCCUGGCGCUGUUCCCUGGUACCAACAUCGAUGAUGGCUGCCUCAUCGCGCACGUGGUUGACGCUGAAGUCCUCACGAGAAGAAACGACCCAAUCUUCAACAGCAUCAACGUCUUCUUGGACGCGAUCGACGAGCAUUUCGGCUACAACGCUGUCUCUGAACAACUCAUCAACAUGCACAUCUACGAUCCCUUCGACGGGACCAGCGACCUUCUGUUCAAGGACUCCACCGUAGGCUUGACAGAACCUAACGUGUUCGUCUCCCAUCAACCGGCUAGGAACUACAUCAACUUAUUCACCCAUUUGGAGGCGUGCACCAGUGCAGCGACCACACCCACUCCUGGAAUUAUUCCGGGGGUGAAUGGUUUGGCCAAUAGGAAUAUUAUGUCAGUCAUGACCAUGGCAGUUAUGGGACUGAUGGCCAGAUUCGUGGUGUAUUAGCGAGUUUAGAGUAUGACCAACAGCACAUCAAGAAAGCAAUGUGGCAUCUUGUAGGUUGUAUUUAUAAGUCAAGCGCUUAAAUCAGUGCCAGGAGGGUGUUUUUGAGACGUUAGCGAGACUUCAGAUAUGCUCUACUAGCUUUCCGCCCACGGCUUCGCUU